GGAGCUCUCCCNUAUGGUCGACCUGCAGGCGGCCGCGAAUUCACUAGUGAUUAGAGUUUGAUCCUGGCUCAGGAUGAACGCUAGCGACAGGCUUAACACAUGCAAGUCGAGGGGCAGCGGGGUGUAGCAAUACACCGCCGGCGACCGGCGCACGGGUGAGUAACGCGUAUGCAACUUACCUAUCAGAGGGGGAUAACCCGGCGAAAGUCGGACUAAUACCGCAUGAAGCAGGGGCCCCGCAUGGGGAUAUUUGCUAAAGAUUCAUCGCUGAUAGAUAGGCAUGCGUUCCAUUAGGCAGUUGGCGGGGUAACGGCCCACCAAACCGACGAUGGAUAGGGGUUCUGAGAGGAAGGUCCCCCACAUUGGUACUGAGACACGGACCAAACUCCUACGGGAGGCAGCAGUGAGGAAUAUUGGUCAAUGGGCGUAAGCCUGAACCAGCCAAGUCGCGUGAGGGAUGAAGGUUCUAUGGAUCGUAAACCUCUUUUAUAAGGGAAUAAAGUGCGGGACGUGUCCCGUUUUGUAUGUACCUUAUGAAUAAGGAUCGGCUAACUCCGUGCCAGCAGCCGCGGUAAUACGGAGGAUCCGAGCGUUAUCCGGAUUUAUUGGGUUUAAAGGGUGCGUAGGCGGCCUUUUAAGUCAGCGGUGAAAGUCUGUGGCUCAACCAUAGAAUUGCCGUUGAAACUGGGAGGCUUGAGUAUGUUUGAGGCAGGCGGAAUGCGUGGUGUAGCGGUGAAAUGCAUAGAUAUCACGCAGAACCCCGAUUGCGAAGGCAGCCUGCCAAGCCAUGACUGACGCUGAUGCACGAAAGCGUGGGGAUCAAACAGGAUUAGAUACCCUGGUAGUCCACGCAGUAAACGAUGAUCACUAGCUGUUUGCGAUACAGUGUAAGCGGCACAGCGAAAGCGUUAAGUGAUCCACCUGGGGAGUACGCCGGCNACGGUGAAACUCAAAGGAAUUGACGGGGGCCCGCACAAGCGGAGGAACAUGUGGUUUA
rnacentral:rRNA from 1 species